rnacentral:rRNA from 1 species
UACAGAGGGUGCGAGCGUUAAUCGGAAUUACUGGGCGUAAAGCGCGCGUAGGCGGCUUGUUAAGUCAAAUGUGAAAUCCCCGAGCUUAACUUGGGCAUUGCAUUCGAUACUGGCAAGCUAGAGUAUGGGAGAGGAAGGUAGAAUUCCAGGUGUAGCGGUGAAAUGCGUAGAGAUCUGGAGGAAUACCGAUGGCGAAGGCAGCCUUCUGGCCUAAUACUGACGCUGAGGUGCGAAAGCAUGGGGAG